rnacentral:rRNA from 1 species
CUAAGUUGAAACUCAUUUUUGGUGAAACUGCAAAUGGCUCAUUAUAUCCGUUUUAAUGUCUGUGGGCU